CUUCCGCCUUCCGGAUGGAUGAAAGCAGAAGCAGUGGCUGGAGCUAGAGCAGCUAUUUAGGACUAUGAGAUGGAAGAAAUGUGGUGACAAUAGCAGAACAAAAAUAUAGAAAUCUUGGGUACUUGAUGACCACGGAGCCGCCAUACAAACUCUGGACUAUAAUUUCCAGAGACUGUUUAUGUGAGAGAGAAAUAUACUUCUCCUGUUAGGCUACUGUUAACUCUGUGUUUUCUGUCAGUUCUGAUAUAGGAGGCAUUGUCAUCCCAUUUUACAGACGAAGAGACGGAGUCUCAAGUUUCCAUAGCUGGUGUGCACUUUAGUUCCUCAAGGACAAUAAUGCCCCACCCUUGAGAGAAUGAAGAUACUGUCAUUACCUCUGCAAAGAAUGCAUCCUAGCACAGAUCAAAGAUCUUCCAAGUCCAGCCACACCAUUUUACAGUUCUGAACCUCGACUUAGGAAAGCAGUGGAUCUUUAUACAUUUGACACAUCCCUUCCCUCUAGGAUCUCUGUGGCUAUUGAAAAUGGACUGGAGAAGAUGAGUGGGAGUGAGAAGAGGAUAACAGAAUCAGAUAAAAACCUGUCAUGUUACUAAGAGCAGGAGAUGAGGCAGCCUGGACCAAGAUGGUGGCAGAGAGAAGAAAAUUGCUUGAGAGAAUUGAUUAAACUACUUGGUUAGCACAGAUAGAGCUGAAUCAAAAAUUAGGAUGGUAAGCUAAGUAAUUUUACACACAAAAAGGCAGAGUUGCAUUCAUAAUUAGUCUCUCCUUCAGACUGAAUAUUACAGACAAAAUAUAGCCAUUGGUGUUGCAAUCACUUCCUUUGGGUUUGUAUCCAAGGUUAAGAAUGUCAGCAUCCAAAGACCCAAAUUCUUAAUGUUUUUAGUUGAUAAAGUUUAUUCAAGGUAGACAGCCUGUGUUGAAUAACUUAGUCUUCCACAAAUUUCAAGAAAAAUCCAUUGUCCCUCUUCUCCGCCACAGACACACUUUAGUUGAACAUUAAGCAUAUUUAUUAAAGAAACAUUCUCCUUGUGCUUUUUCUCCCAAGAUGGAUGGUGUUCUUACUUAGAGUUAUAAGUGUCAGAAUAAAAAUGCCCAUGAGGUUGAAUU
rnacentral:lncRNA from 1 species